rnacentral:rRNA from 1 species
UGAGUAACACGUAUCCAACCUGCCGUCUACUCUUGGACAGCCUUCUGAAAGGAAGAUUAAUACAAGAUGGCAUCAUGAGUUCACAUGUUCACAUGAUUAAAGGUAUUCCGGUAGACGAUGGGGAUGCGUUCCAUUAGAUAGUAGGCGGGGUAACGGCCCACCUAGUCUUCGAUGGAUAGGGGUUCUGAGAGGAAGGCCCCCCACAUUGGAACUGAGACACGGUCCAA